rnacentral:sRNA from 1 species
GGCUAGGUCUUGGAGGCUGGUGUAAGGCGAUGCGGGUGAAGGCAGGAGGCUGAUGGAAAGACUGGGGGGAAGAAAAGCCGAAAUGGAUUCACGGUGCCUUGGAUGAAGGACGAGAGGGGAACUGCAAGCUCCUUCAACUGGUUCUGUCCGGUGAGAAGUGAUCAAGCUUGGGCUGACAAGAGGCUCAGGGAGCCCUCACGUUCUUUCGCUUUUUUACCUGCCAAUCAAACUGCUACAAGACAACACCCUGAUCUGGCAUGGACAUACUAAAGCUCUGUACUCGACCCCGCGAGCGGCUCUCGCCUUCCGGGGAUGGAACCCGACUCAGAUGUGAAGCGGCACUGAGCCGCUGCGCAGGUUCGUGCCCAGCGCCCCCUGUUGGACACAGUAGGAGCUGCGCAGCGCCAGUCCCGGAAAUCGCUGGAAUCCUGCUCUGGGGUUAGAGAAAACUCUUUAUUGCCCUCCAAAAAAGAAACGGGACGCGGAAACAAAUU